rnacentral:misc_RNA from 1 species
AAAAUCUCAUAAAUAAAACUUUUUUGUUAAUACAUUUUUGUUUGUUUGUGGACUUGGAUUUGCGAUUUUAUAAAUUGCUUGUCUAAAAUGAAUUUCAUGAAGCUUAUAUAUUGCUUUGUUCCUUUGCUUAAUAGUUUUGCUUUGUCAAAUCUUUUGCAAUUGUUUACAAAUGCGCAAAAAGUGAAUUGAUUUUUUACGAAAUCUAUAUCUCAUU